GAUGAACGCUAGCGAUAGGCCUAACACAUGCAAGUCGAGGGGCAUCACAUGAAGUAGCAAUACGGAUGGUGGCGACCGGCGCACGGGUGAGUAACACGUAUGCAACCUGCCUUCAACAAGGGGAUAACCCGUUGAAAGACGGACUAAUACCCUAUAACACAGGGGUCCCGCAUGGGAAUAUUUGUUAAAGGACAACCGGUUGAAGAUGGGCAUGCGUUCCAUUAGCUAGUUGGCGGGGUAACGGCCCACCAAGGCAACGAUGGAUAGGGGAACUGAGAGGUUUAUCCCCCACACUGGUACUGAGACACGGACCAGACUCCUACGGGAGGCAGCAGUGAGGAAUAUUGGUCAAUGGACGCAAGUCUGAACCAGCCACGUCGCGUGAAGGAAGACGGCCCUACGGGUU
rnacentral:rRNA from 1 species